UACGAAGGGGGCGAGCGUUGUUCGGAAUUACUGGGCGUAAAGGGCGCGUAGGCGGCGACCCAAGUCAGAUGUGAAAGUCCUGGGCUUAACCUGGGGACUGCAUUUGAUACUGGGUUGCUUGAAUUCGGGAGAGGAUAGCGGAAUUCCUAGUGUAGAGGUGAAAUUUGUAGAUAUUGGGAAGAACACCGGUGGCGAAGGCGGCUAUCUGGACCGACAUUGACGCUGAGGCGCGAAAGCGUGGGGAGCAAACAGG
rnacentral:rRNA from 1 species